rnacentral:rRNA from 1 species
GGAGGGGGCUAGCGUUGCUCGGAAUUACUGGGCGUAAAGGGCGCGUAGGCGGAUUUUUUAGUCAGGCGUGAAAGCCCCGGGCUCAACCCGGGAAUUGCGCUUGAUACUGGAAGUCUAGAGUUCUGGAGAGGGUGGUGGAAUUCCCAGUGUAGAGGUGAAAUUCGUAGAUAUUGGGAAGAACACCGGUGGCGAAGGCGGCCACCUGGCCAGACACUGACGCUAAGGCGCGAAAGCGUGGGGAGCAAACAGGAUUAGAUACCCUGGGUAGUCCACGCCGUAAACGAUGUGUGCUAGACGUCGGGCAGCUUGCUGUUCGGUGUCGCAGCUAACGCGUUAAGCACACCGCCUGGGGAGUACGGUCGCAAGAUUA